UACGUAGGGUGCGAGCGUUGUCCGGAAUUAUUGGGCGUAAAGAGCUCGUAGGCGGUUUGUCGCGUCGAAUGUGAAAACCCGGGGCUCAACCCCGGGCCUGCAUUCGAUACGGGCAAACUCGAGUGCGGUAGGGGAGACUGGAAUUCCUGGUGUAGCGGUGAAAUGCGCAGAUAUCAGGAGGAACACCGGCGGCGAAGGCGGGUCUCUGGGCCGUAACUGACGCUGAGGAGCGAAAGCGUGGGGAGCGAACAGG
rnacentral:rRNA from 1 species